rnacentral:sRNA from 1 species
GGAAGUAAAAGUCGUAACAAGGUCUCCGUUGGUGAACCAGCGGAGGGAUCAUUACCGAAGUUACCCUUCAAAACCCAUUGUGAACCUUACCUCUUGCCGCGCGUUGCCUCGGCGGGGAGGCGGGGUCUGGGUCGGCGCGCCCCUCGCCGGGCCGCCGUCCCCGUCCCCGUCCCCGCCGGCCGCGCCAAACUCUGAAUUUGAAAAAGCGUACUGCACGUUCUGAUUCAAAACAAAACAAGUCAAAACUUUUAACAACGGAUCUCUUGGUUCUGGCAUCGAUGAAGAACGCAGCGAAAUGCGAUAAGUAAUGUGAAUUGCAGAAUUCAGUGAAUCAUCGAAUCUUUGAACGCACAUUGCGCCCGGCAGCAAUCUGCCGGGCAUGCCUGUCCGAGCGUCAUUUCUUCCCUCGAGCGCGGCUAGCCCUACGGGGCCUGCCGUCGCCCGGUGUUGGGGCUCUACGGGUGGGGCUCGCCCCCCCCCGCAGUCCCCGAAAUGUAGUGGCGGUCCAGCCGCGGCGCCCCCUGCGUAGUAGAUCCUACAUCUCGCAUCGGGUCCCGGCGAAGGCCAGCCGUCGAACCUUUUUCAUUUCAUGGUUUGACCUCGGAUCAGGUAGGGUUACCCGCUGAACUUAAGCAUAUCAAUAAGCGGAGGA